CAGGCAUUGCUCCAGGAAAGGCCACGCCCCCUGUGCUCUUCCGUCCAAUCGGAGCUAGAGGGAGGGGCAGCCUCGAUCUUGCUCAGCGGAAGUUUUAACAGAGCUGCGCUGAAAGCUAAGCCUUCAUUCUCUUCAAUAGGUGGGUGGUUUAAGCGGCUGGAUGACCAAGCGAAAUGUGGGCUGAGUGAAUUUAGAGGCUCAGGUUCUGUGGAGCAGAAUUUGAGAAUUGAGUUUAGGGUACCGGUGUAAACUUCCUAGAGGAAAUGCGCAGCCGCAAAAGAGAUUUCCGGAUUGGAGUCUUGGCCACCAGGAGAUGGGGACUGGGCGGCCUGGUUGAAGGCCACUGGCAUCCUGUUUCCUUAGUCCCACCUAGGGUGGGUUCUAACACAGCAGGGUUUGCAGAAAAAUAUGCUAGGCCUUUUGUGCUGUUCAGAAGGUCCCGGUGACACCCAAGAGACAUCCGAUUAUAUGCACGUGAAUCCUUUCACCGGAACAAUGGCGACAUCUAUCUUCGUAUUAUCAAAGCAAUUGCAAAAGGAUAUCAAGAUGGAGGGGAGCCCAAAGCAUCAGAGAGAAUUCAUAACAGACAUUGAUUAAACCUGACUUGAUUAAAACCUGACUCCUUUAGAAGGGAAUGCCAACCCAUUGGGAUGCUGAUGAUCUGUAAAGAUCCUAGAGCAGGAGUGCAUGGCCAGUGACACAAGACUUGGGAAUGAAAACUAGAUGUGGUAAACAUCCAGAAAAAGCAGAGACAAGAAGAAAAUGCACAGUGUUAGUACUGGGAUGUUUGAGAUGGGGUCUCCAUGGCCCUGGCUGUCCCUGUUAAUCUGUCUAGUGAUCCAGACAGCAUCUGGUAUGAGCUGCAGAGUUGAUUCUUGUACAGUUUCUGUGGGCUGUAUGUAAAUGGGUUGUUUUGCCAAUCCAUUGCCAGUGCUCUGUUCUGUGAAGGUUGUGGUGAGCUGACACAGCUGUACAGACUGAGCAGAGUGAAUGCAAUCAUGGCGGUAAAGAGCAGGUCACACUGUCUCUGUGAUUGUAAACUUCAUCCUGGGCUAUUUCCUUAGUUAUCCCGUGGUGGAUACUUGGGAGUACUGCAAUAAACAUCCAGUUGCAAAUAUUUCUUCAAUUCAGUUUGUGUCAGAAGCUUAACCAGAGUGCCCUGGUACAUGUUCCAUUUCCAUGGUAAUUGAAUUUUCAGAGUUAAUGUUCUAAGCACACUAAUAUCAGUCUCCUAACUAGCAAGACUGUGCACAUGAUCAGGUUUCCCUGUGACAUUGUCAAACAAUGACUUGGUCACAUUUGUCCAGCCCUCCCUAACCAUUUCUUAAUUUUGAGACAGGGUUUCUCUGUGACUGGUUUAUCUUUGUUCUACCUGCCUCUGUUUCCCAAAUACUAAAACUAAAUGGGCUUUACUUUCUAAAUUCUUAACUGCUGCAUACUUCCAUUUUCCUUUGUGGUAAUUGACAAGGGUUGAACUUGCAUUUUUGGUGGGUGGGGGCAACAGUAUCUCAUAAUUGUCCUGAUACCCAACUAUAGAGAUAGCAUCAGUUUAAAGAAAAAGCCACCAUGCCUAAUCUUAGAGUACUAUAAAAUUACCUGACUUCAAUUUUUUUGCUAGCCUAAACAAAGUAGUGUCACUGGUUAUGGAUAAAUUCUUCUAGGAUGCUGUUGCUUUGUGGUAACAGAUUUCAAGACAGUUCUCAGUAUCCCUGGCUGUCUGAGCUCUGGUCUAGGCUGAUCUUGAACUAGAUCCUCCUGCCUCCCAAAUGCUUGGAAUAAAAGCAUGUCAGCCGACCCCUCUACCUGAUUUAUCUUUAAAUUCAAGGUCUUAAAUUGGGUUUUCACACUAAGCAGGAGGAAUCUAGUCUGGUUUUUUUUUUUCUCCCUGUAUGUGUUAAGUUUUCAUGGUACCAUUGGUGAAAACUUUCUACAUUUGAAAAAUGAGUUGCCUGUGAAUAUGGAGUUCUUUAUGGGUUCUCUACUUUGGGUGCAGUUGAAUGUCUAGUCAGGUAGCUUAUUUUUUUAGGAUGUUAGAAUUCCAUUUGAUACUCUGCCUUUUUUUAUUUUGCCUUGUUCCUAUGUUCUGCUUUGCUGUAUCACAUGAUAUUUGUUGUGUCUCCUUUUUAUUUAUUUGAAGAAAUACUAAUUUUCCUUUUGAUUUCAUCCUUGGUUCUUUGACUUUUCCAGAGUAACUGCAUUUCCAUAUAAGGUGAAAACUGGGGAUAUACUUCAAGACUAAGGCAGGAAGAUUACAUGAGCCUAGUUCAGGGUUCAUUAAUUGAUAAAUCUCAUAGACCCAGAAGGUUCACUUAGUUUCAGCAGAAGUAGGUGGAUCUCGGAUUUCCAAGGCCAGUGUACAGAGCAGGUUUCAGGACAGGGCUACACGGAGAAACACAUGUUGGGUUGUGAAGAGGAAAUGAAAGGCUUGUUGGCCUUUAAGCAAGCCGAGAAAGGUGCAAGUGAGCCAAGAUUGUGAACUAAAAGUGUUUCACACUUAACCUAAUGCUUUUUCUUUUUGCUUAUUUUUGUUUUGUUUUUUUUUUUUUGUAAGGCAGGAGUUCUCUGUUCAUCCCUUGCUGUCCAAGAACUCUGUAGACCAGUCUGCCCUUGAACUCAGAUCCUCCUCCUCCUCCUGAAUGCUGGGAUUAAAAGCAUAUGUCACCACAGCUCAGCCCUCUGUCUAAUUUUCCACUCUGAUUCAAAGUCUGAAUGCUUAGGCAUUUAUUCUACAGUUUUCAUAGUUAGGAAGAGGAAUCAAGUUUGUUUUUUUUUCCCCUGUAGAUGUUGUUUUCCUGGUAUUUUGAAUGAGAUGGACUUAAUUUCUUCACAGGAAACUUUGCUACCUUUGAAAAACAAAUUAGCUGUGAAUAUGCAGUUCUUUAUGGGAUUUCUAUACCAUGUUUGGGUGCAGUUGUCUAGUCAUGUUGUCUCUAGCUUAUUUUUACACAGAAAAUCACAGUCUCUUCCACAUAUUAUUUACUUAUUCCUAUUUCUAUAGGAUGGUAAAAAGGUUUUCAUUUGAUACUCUGCUUUUUGGGGUUUGUGUUUCUAUGUGCAUGUUGAUUUCUGCAAGCUCUAGUUUGCUCUAGUUGAUUUCUGCUUUUGCUGUAUCACAUGUUACUUGUCUCUUCUUUAAUUAUUUGAAAAAAUAGGAAUUUCCCGUUUGAUUUCAUCCUUGAUUCAUUGGCUAUUCAGGAGUAACUGAGGGCUUGAGAGAUGGCUCAGUGUUUAAGAGCACGGACUGCUCUUCCAGAGGUCCCGAGUUCAAUUUCCAGCAACCACAUGAUGGCUCACAACCACCUGUAAUGGGAUCUGAUACCCUCUUCUGGUGUGUCUGAAGAUAACUGCAGUGUACGAAUAUGCAGAAAAUGAAUAAGUAAUUUUUUAAAAAAUGAAAAAUAACUGAAUUUCCAUGGAAAAUGGGGAUACAACUCAGGAAUCUAAAGCGGGAAGAUCACUUGAGCAGAGUCAAAGGUUCUUUAACUGGUAAACCUCAUAGACCCAGAACAGGCUCAGAUGAUGUAAAUUAUUUCAAAAAACAAAACUGGUAUGGCACAUAUCUUUAGACUAAGCAGAGGCAGGUGGAUCUCUGAGUUCUAAGGUCAGUCUACAAAGCAAGUUUCAGGACAGAACUACGCAGAGAAACAGGUUAGGAGGGUUGUCCAAGAAAGUUAAGGCUAGUUGACUUAUUCAAGCUGGCAACAGUUAAUAGCAAGGCAGUGUUGUGAAAUGGUUUGAUUUUUAAGCCUCUGACCUCUUUCUGUCGUCCCUUCUGCUUAUUUCCUUGUCUUCUGGGUGUUUUAGUUUAUAUGCUUGUUAUAGUUCAAGUUAUUAUGUAUUUUAUAUAUUAAAGAAUACUAGUCUGUUAAAGAUCCCAGAGAUAAACUAAAUCUCUAGUCUCUUCAUAAAUAUAGGUACAUGAUACUGAAGAAAACCAAAUGCAACCUUAUAGAAAUAGAAAACACCAGUGAAGAUUUUCUUUAUUGGUUGUUUACUUCGGAAUAGGGGCUCACUGUUUACACCUGGAGCUCGCUCAGACCAAGCCGGCCUUAGGAAUUUAUGGCAAUCCUACCUCCCAACUGUAGAUUACAGGCAGGUGUCACCAUGCCAGCAAGAGAAUCCUUCCCUUUAAAGGAUUAAACAGAUGGAGUCCAAACCGAUUGGACUUUAGGGAACAUACAGCUAGGCUUAAAGGACCGCAGGAAUAAAGCACAGUAUGGUUUCAGAUGCAUUUGUAAUACAAUGGCAUCUUUGGUAGUAAUGGGAUGGGAAAAAUGGAAUGCAAGCUAUUUGCUGAAUGCUAAGGACUUUGUAGUUUCUGAGCAGAUGGGUUCAAACUCUAAAUGCCUUUUCAGUAAGAACCUGUGAUGAGAAUUUGCUGUGUUCAUUGUGCAUUGAAAGUGAGAUUUUAUAGGGUGGGGAUUAGGGGUGUUAUGUGUAUGAGUGCAAUUGCCCUUUUAGGCCAGAAGGGGGUGUCGGAUGUGAUGCGAGAGUUCAGCUGCUGUGAGGGAACUUGGGUCCUGAAAGCAGUUAGCACAUUUGACCACUGAGCCUUCCCCAUCAUUGACCUGAACAAGAGACAAGUCCAAACAAGGCAUUGUUUUAGUGGGAAAUAAAAUUAAUUAACAUUAAA